rnacentral:rRNA from 1 species
UGAGGAAUAUUGCGCAAUGGGGGCAACCCUGACGCAGCAACGCCGCGUGAGUGAGGAAGGUUUUCGGACCGUAAAGCUCUGUCGAGCGGGAAGAAAUGCAUGGUGGCUAAUAUCCAUCAUGCUUGACGGUACCGCUAAAGGAAGCACCGGCUAACUCCGUGCCAGCAGCCGCGGUAAUACGGGGGGUGCAAGCGUUGUUCGGAAUUAUUGGGCGUAAAGGGUCCGCAGGUUGUUUGGCAAGUCAGUCGUCAAAUCCCGAAGCUCAACUUCGGGGCUGCGGUUGAAACUGCCAAGCUAGAGGGUGGAAUAGGCUAACGGAAGUGUCGGUGUAGUAGUAAAAUGCGUUGAUAUCGACAGGAACACCAACGGUGAAGACAGUUAGCUGGUACACUCCUGACACUGAGGGACGAAAGCGUGGGUAGCGAAUG